AACGUAGGUACCGAGCGUUAUCCGGAUUUACGUGGCGUAAAGCGUGUUCAGGCGGCCUGGCAAGUCGGGCAUGAAAUCUCUCGGCUCAACCGGGAUGAGGCUGUCCGAUACUGCUGGGCUUGAGGACGGUAGAGGGUGGUGGAAUUCCGCGUGUAGUGGUGAAAUGCGUAGAUAUGCGGGAGGAACACCAGUGGCGAAGGCGGCCACCUGGACCGUCCCUGACGCUCAAACACGAAAGCUAGGGUAGCGAACGGG
rnacentral:rRNA from 1 species